AUAAGAGGUCCCGCCUGCCCUGUGACUCUAAGUUUAACGGCCGCGGUAUUUUGACCGUGCGAAGGUAGCGCAAUCACUUGUCUUUUAAAUGGAGACCUGUAUGAAUGGCAUAACGAGGGCUUAGCUGUCUCCUUUCUCCAGUCAAUGAAAUUGAUCUCCCCGUGCAGAAGCGGGGAUAAGACCAUAAGACGAGAAGACCCUAUGGAGCUUUAGACGCCAAGACAGACCAUGUUAAACACCUCCUCAUAAGGAGCCCAAACCAAAUGGUCCCUGCCCUAGUGUCUUUGGUUGGGGCGACCGCGGGGAAACAUAAAACCCCCAUGUGGAAUGGGAGCACUCUCUCCUACAACUAAGAGCUGCAGCUCUAAUGAACAGAAUUUCUGACCAACAAGAUCCGGCAGUGCCGAUCAACGGACCGAGUUACCCUAGGGAUAACAGCGCAAUCCCCUUUUAGAGCCCAUAUCGACAAGGGGGUUUACGACCUCGAUGUUGGAUCAGGACAUCCUAAUGGUGCAGCCGCUAUUAAGGGUUCGUUUGUUCAACGAUUAAAGUCC
rnacentral:rRNA from 1 species